rnacentral:rRNA from 1 species
UACGAAGGGGGCUAGCGUUGCUCGGAAUCACUGGGCGUAAAGCGCACGUAGGCGGCUUUUUAAGUCAGGGGUGAAAUCCUGGAGCUCAACUCCAGAACUGCCUUUGAUACUGAGAGCUUGAGUCCGGGAGAGGUGAGUGGAACUGCGAGUGUAGAGGUGAAAUUCGUAGAUAUUCGCAAGAACACCAGUGGCGAAGGCGGCUCACUGGCCCGGUACUGACGCUGAGGCACGAAAGCGUGGGAGCAAACAGG